GGAGACGGAAGAGAUGGUGUUGGCGGCGGUAGAGAUAUUUUGGGAGUUGAAGGCUGAGGAGAUGGUGUUGGCGGCAGUGUAGAUAUUUUGGGAGUUGGGGGGGGAAGAGAUGGUGUAGGUGGAGGAGGAGAUGGUGUUGACGGGGUUGGAGAUAUUUUGGGAGUUGGAGGGGGAAGAGAUGGUGUAGGUGGAGGAGGAGAUGGUGUUGACGGGGUUGGAGAUAUUUUGGGAAUUGGAGGCGGAGGAGGAGACGUUUUGGGAGUAGGAGGCGAAGCUGACGGUGUUGACGGUGACGGUGUUGAUGGUGUUGAC
rnacentral:lncRNA from 1 species